GGGGUGAAAGGCUAAUCAAACUUGGAGAUAGCUCGUACUCCCCGAAAUGCAUUUAGGUGCAGCCUUGAGAGUUACUAAUGUGAGGUAGAGCGACUGAUAAGAUGCGAGGGCUUCACCGCCUAUCAAGUCUUGAUAAACUCCGAAUGCGCAUUAGUUCUAUCACAGGAGUGAGGGCAUGGGUGCUAAGGUCCAUGUCCUAAAGGAGAAGAAUCCGGACCAUCAGCUAAGGUCCCGAAAUAGAUACUAAGUUGAACUAACGAAGUCAGAUUGCUAAGACAGCUAGGAUGUUGGCUUGGAAGCAGCCAUUCAUUUAAAGAGUGCGUAACAGCUCACUAGUCGAGGAGUUUGGCGUGGAUAAUAAUCGGGCAUUAAGUGUUUUACCGAAGCUAUGGGAUACGUAAGUAUCGGUAGGGGAGCAUUCCACUCUGCGUUGAAGGCGAAGCGUGAGCUUUACUGGAGCGUGUGGAAAAGCAAAUGUAGGUAUAAGUAACGAUAAAGGGGGUGAGAAACCCCCUCGCCGCAAGACUAAGGUUUCCUGAUCAACGCUAAUCGGAUCAGGGUUAGUCGGGUCCUAAGGCUCAGCCGAACGGUGAGGCCGAUGGCAGAACAGGUUAAUAUUCCUGUACUACCUGUAGGAGUGAUGUGGAGACGGAGGAGUGACAACGCCGCGGACUGACGGAAUAGUCCGUUAAAGGGUGUAGAUGUUGAUUAUCCCAGGCAAAUCCGGGAUAAGAGUCGAACCUGACAGUAUACCAAUUUCCCCGGAAAACGGUAAUAGUGCGUGUAAACAUACUCCCAAGAAAAUCCGCUAAACUUAAUCUUACAGGUACCCGUACCGUAAACGGACACACGUAGUCGGGUUGAAUAUACUCAGGCGCUUGAGUGAAUCACGGUUAAGGAACUAGGCAAAUUGACCCUGUAACUUCGGGAUAAAGGGUCCCUACCCGGUGACGGGAGGGCGCAGAGAAUAGGUCCAGGCAACUGUUUAACAAAAACACAGGGCUGUGCAAAAUUGAAAGAUCACGUAUACAGCCUGACACCUGCCCGGUGCUGGAAGGUUAAGAGGAGAUGUCAUCGCAAGAGAAGCGUUGAAUUGAAGCCCCAGUAAACGGCGGCCGUAACUAUAACGGUCCUAAGGUAGCGAAAUUCCUUGUCGGGUAAGUUCCGACCUGCACGAAUGGUGUAAUGAUCUGGACACUGUCUCAACCGUGAGCUCAGUGAAAUUGUAGUAUCGGUGAAGAUGCCGAUUACCCGCGAUGGGACGAAAAGACCCCGUGAACCUUUACUAUAGCUU
rnacentral:rRNA from 1 species